rnacentral:rRNA from 1 species
AUUGAACGCUGGCGGCAGGCCUAACACAUGCAAGUCGAGCGGAUGAAGGGAGCUUGCUUCUGGAUUCAGCGGCGGACGGGUGAGUAAUGCCUAGGAAUCUGCCUGGUAGUGGGGGAUAACGUCCGGAAACGGGCGCUAAUACCGCAUACGUCCUGAGGGAGAAAGUGGGGGAUCUUCGGACCUCACGCUAUCAGAUGAGCCUAGGUCGGAUUAGCUAGUUGGUGGGGUAAAGGCCUACCAAGGCGACGAUCCGUAACUGGUCUGAGAGGAUGAUCAGUCACACUGGAACUGAGAGACGGUCCAGGCUCCUACGGGAGGCCGCAGUGGGGAAUAUUGGACAAUGGGCGAAAGCCUGAUCAAGCCAUGCCGCGUGUGUGAAGAAGGUCUUCGGAUUGUAAAGCACUUUAAGUUGGGAGGAAGGGCAGUAAGUUAUUACCUUGCUGUUUUGACGUUACCAGCAGAAUAAGCACCGGCUAGCUUCGUG